rnacentral:rRNA from 1 species
GGGUUGUGAGGUUAAGCGACUAAGCGUACACGGUGGAUGCCCUGGCAGUCAGAGGCGAUGAAGGACGUGCUAAUCUGCGAAAAGCGUCGGUAAGGUGAUAUGAACCGUUACAGCCGGCGAUGUCCGAAUGGGGAAACCCAGUGCAAUUCGUUGCACUAUCGUUAACUGAAUACAUAGGUUAACGAGGCGAACCGGGGGAACUGAAACAUCUAAGUACCCCGAGGAAAAGAAAUCAACCGAGAUUCCCCCAGUAGCGGCGAGCGAACGGGGAGCAGCCCAGAGUCUGAAUCAGCUUGUGUGUUAGUGGAACGGUCUGGAAAGUCCGACGGUACAGGGUGAUAGUCCCGUACACCAAAAUGCACAGGCUGUGAACUCGAAGAGUAGGGCGGGACACGUGGUAUCCUGUCUGAAUAUGGGGGGACCAUCCUCCAAGGCUAAAUACUCCUGACUGACCGAUAGUGAACCAGUACCGUGAGGGAAAGGCGAAAAGAACCCCGGCGAGGGGAGUGAAAAAGAACCUGAAACCGUGUACGUACAAGCAGUGGGAGCACCUUCGGGUGUGACUGCGUACCUUUUGUAUAAUGGGUCAGCGACUUAUAUUCUGUAGCAAGGUUAACCGUAUAGGGGAGCCGCAGGGAAACCGAGUCUUAACUGGGCGUUAAGUUGCAGGGUAUAGACCCGAAACCCGGUGAUCUAGCCAUGGGCAGGUUGAAGGUUGGGUAACACUAACUGGAGGACCGAACCGACUAAUGUUGAAAAAUUAGCGGAUGACUUGUGGCUGGGGGUGAAAGGCCAAUCAAACCGGGAGAUAGCUGGUUCUCCCCGAAAGCUAUUUAGGUAGCGCCUCGUGAAUUCAUCUUCGGGGGUAGAGCACUGUUUCGGCUAGGGGGUCAUCCCGACUUACCAACCCGAUGCAAACUACGAAUACCGAAGAAUGUUAUCACGGGAGACACACGGCGGGUGCUAACGUCCGUCGUGAAGAGGGAAACAACCCAGACCGCCAGCUAAGGUCCCAAAGUCACAGUUAAGUGGGAAACGAUGUGGGAAGGCACAGACAGCCAGGAUGUUGGCUUAGAAGCAGCCAUCAUUUAAAGAAAGCGUAAUAGCUCACUGGUCGAGUCGGCCUGCGCGGAAGAUGUAACGGGGCUAAACUGUGCACCGAAGCUGCGGCAGCGACACUAUGUGUUGUUGGGUAGGGGAGCGUUCUGUAAGCCUGCGAAGGUGGCCUGUGAGGGUUGCUGGAGGUAUCAGAAGUGCGAAUGCUGACAUAAGUAACGAUAAUGCGGGUGAAAAGCCCGCACGCCGGAAGACCAAGGGUUCCUGUCCAACGUUAAUCGGGGCAGGGUGAGUCGACCCCUAAGGCGAGGCCGAAAGGCGUAGUCGAUGGGAAACAGGUUAAUAUUCCUGUACUUGGUGUUACUGCGAAGGGGGGACGGAGAAGGCUAUGUUAGCCGGGCGACGGUUGUCCCGGUUUAAGCAUGUAGGCGGAGGUUCCAGGUAAAUCCGGUACCUUUUAACGCUGAGGUGUGAUGACGAGGCACUACGGUGCUGAAGUAACAAAUGCCCUGCUUCCAGGAAAAGCCUCUAAGCAUCAGGUAACAUUGAAUCGUACCCCAAACCGACACAGGUGGUCAGGUAGAGAAUACCAAGGCGCUUGAGAGAACUCGGGUGAAGGAACUAGGCAAAAUGGUGCCGUAACUUCGGGAGAAGGCACGCUGAUAUGUAGGUGAAGCCCCUGCGGGUGGAGCUGAAAUCAGUCGAAGAUACCAGCUGGCUGCAACUGUUUAUUAAAAACACAGCACUGUGCAAACACGAAAGUGGACGUAUACGGUGUGACGCCUGCCCGGUGCCGGAAGGUUAAUUGAUGGGGUUAUCCGUAAGGAGAAGCUCUUGAUCGAAGCCCCGGUAAACGGCGGCCGUAACUAUAACGGUCCUAAGGUAGCGAAAUUCCUUGUCGGGUAAGUUCCGACCUGCACGAAUGGCGUAAUGAUGGCCAGGCUGUCUCCACCCGAGACUCAGUGAAAUUGAACUCGCUGUGAAGAUGCAGUGUACCCGCGGCAAGACGGAAAGACCCCGUGAACCUUUACUAUAGCUUGACACUGAACAUUGAGCCUUGAUGUGUAGGAUAGGUGGGAGGCUUUGAAGCGUGGACGCCAGUCUGCGUGGAGCCAACCUUGAAAUACCACCCUUUAAUGUUUGAUGUUCUAACGUUGGCCCCUUAUCGGGGUUGCGGACAGUGUCUGGUGGGUAGUUUGACUGGGGCGGUCUCCUCCCAAAGAGUAACGGAGGAGCACGAAGGUUAGCUAAUCCUGGUCGGACAUCAGGAGGUUAGUGCAAUGGCAUAAGCUAGCUUGACUGCGAGCGUGACGGCGCGAGCAGGUGCGAAAGCAGGUCAUAGUGAUCCGGUGGUUCUGAAUGGAAGGGCCAUCGCUCAACGGAUAAAAGGUACUCCGGGGAUAACAGGCUGAUACCGCCCAAGAGUUCAUAUCGACGGCGGUGUUUGGCACCUCGAUGUCGGCUCAUCACAUCCUGGGGCUGAAGUAGGUCCCAAGGGUAUGGCUGUUCGCCAUUUAAAGUGGUACGCGAGCUGGGUUUAGAACGUCGUGAGACAGUUCGGUCCCUAUCUGCCGUGGGCGCUGGAGAAUUGAGGGGGGCUGCUCCUAGUACGAGAGGACCGGAGUGGACGCAUCACUGGUGUUCGGGUUGUCAUGCCAAUGGCAUUGCCCGGUAGCUAAAUGCGGAAGAGAUAAGUGCUGAAAGCAUCUAAGCACGAAACUUGCCCCGAGAUGAGUUCUCCCUGAGACUUUAAGUCUCCUGAAGGAACGUUAAAGACGAUGACGUUGAUAGGUCGGGUGUGUAAGCGUAGCGAUACGUUGAGCUAACCGAUACUAAUGAACCGUGAGGCUUAACCUUACAACGCCGAAGGUGUUU